UGUAACAAGGUUUCCGUAGGUGAACCUGCGGAAGGAUCAUUACUGAGUGCGGGCUGCCUCCGGGCGCCCAACCUCCCACCCGUGAAUACCUAACACUGUUGCUUCGGCGGGGAACCCCCUCGGGGGCGAGCCGCCGGGGACUACUGAACUUCAUGCCUGAGAGUGAUGCAGUCUGAGUCUGAAUAUAAAAUCAGUCAAAACUUUCAACAAUGGAUCUCUUGGUUCCGGCAUCGAUGAAGAACGCAGCGAACUGCGAUAAGUAAUGUGAAUUGCAGAAUUCAGUGAAUCAUCGAGUCUUUGAACGCACAUUGCGCCCCCUGGCAUUCCGGGGGGCAUGCCUGUCCGAGCGUCAUUGCUGCCCAUCAAGCCCGGCUUGUGUGUUGGGUCGUCGUCCCCCCCCGGGGGACGGGCCCGAAAGGCAGCGGCGGCACCGUGUCCGGUCCUCGAGCGUAUGGGGCUUUGUCACCCGCUCGACUAGGGCCGGCCGGGCGCCAGCCGACGUCUCCAACCAUUUUUCUUCAGGUUGACCUCGGAUCAGGUAGGGAUACCCGCUGAACUUAAGCAUAUCAAUAAGC
rnacentral:misc_RNA from 1 species